rnacentral:rRNA from 1 species
AUUGAACGCUGGCGGAAUGCUUUACACAUGCAAGUCGAGCGGCAGCGCGGGGGCAACCCUGGCGGCGAGCGGCGAACGGGUGAGUAAUGCAUCGGAACGUACCCUGGAGUGGGGGAUAACGCCGCGAAAGCGGCGCUAAUACCGCAUAUGCUCUGAGGAGGAAAGUGGGGGACCGCAAGGCCUCACGCUCUGGGAGCGGCCGAUGUCCGAUUAGCUAGUUGGUGGGGUAAAGGCUUACCAAGGCGACGAUCGGUAGCUGGUCUGAGAGGAUGAUCAGCCACACUGGGACUGAGACACGGCCCAGACUCCUACGGGAGGCAGCAGUGGGGAAUAUUGGACAAUGGGCGCAAGCCUGAUCCAGCAAUGCCGCGUGUGUGAAGAAGGUCUUCGGAUUGUAAAGCACUUUCGACGGGGACGAUGAUGACGGUACCCGUAGAAGAAGCCCCGGCUAACUUCGUGCCAGCAGCCGCGGUAAU